rnacentral:lncRNA from 1 species
AUUGAACCCAAGGUGCUUUACCACUGAGCCAAAUUCCCAGCUGUUUUUGAAAAAAAAAAAAAAGAAAGAACAUUUUUUUUUUUUUUAAUUCGAGACAGGGUCUUGCUAAGUUGCUUCGGGCCUCACUAAGUUGCUGAGACUCGUCUAGAACUUGUGAUCCUCCUGCCUCAGUCUUCCAAGUCACUAGGAUUACAGGCAUUGACCCCUGUGUCUAGCUUCUGGCCCACUUUUGACCUCCACAGACAGCCAGACAAUUUAAUAAAUUCGGAUUUAUGAAGUUCAUGUUUGCCAGGGGUCUCUCUUGGUGUGUAUUGAGUCCUAUGGCCCCAAAGAGGCAGGAAUUAGAUUCCACCUUUAUGACUGCCAGAGGUUUUAACCUGCAAGUGAUCUGAGCCUAAUGAGGUCCUCCUCAUGUGAGUCCAGCAAAUGAGUGUCAGUCAUGUGCAGGGCCCUCCUACACGUUGAAAGGCAAACAGUGCUUCAGCCUUCUGAGGGCAACAGCGUACAUUUUUCCUUUGUGUGUACAUUAGUGCCUCCUUGUUAGGAGGGACACCGCCCUGUUGUAAAACUAUUCUUAGUAGCCUUGAUUGUGCUUCUUAGUAGACGGGUUGUAAAAAUUAUUGCACUUACAGUAACCCCCAGAAUUCUGGUUUAAAGGUCCCAAACAACACUAUGGGCUUUACAUCAGAGAGCUGAGAGGGCUUUAAAGUUGGCUCUUUGGGAUGGGUUCUGUUUUGGUGGAGAUUCAUGCUUUUGUCGGGUUUUCCUUGCCUUUUCUUUUAAUUAAUAAAAAGGUAAAACUUCACCAUCUUCUGAUACCAAUGCCUGCUAGGAAAGGGUAUUUUAAUGUGAGAUUGCUAUUCUGUCUCUCAAAAGAGUAAAGAUGGACAUCUACUGUCACUUGUCCUAAGGGUCUUAGAGUUUGCCAACGCCAUGUAAAAAUGCAACCAAAACUUGCUAGAGUUAACUCUGAUCAGCAAAGUUAAGUCAGUGUCAGAUGCAGUGAUGGUCUGACCCGUAAUGGCACCAAGAGAACCCUGACCCAGGCCUGCCCUCUGCCAGAUGAUGGAAUAAAGAACCAAAUCUCACUGAGUGUCCCUGCUUCAGCAUCUUGUUUAAAACAGGAAAAUUUGGACUGAUGUCUAAAAUACCUUAGGAGUUUGAUUUUGCAAACAUCAAAUAGUAGGGGUGAAGCUCACAGCCAGCAAAGGCUUCUCUGACAAACCAAUCGAGUCAGCACACCACAACCACAACACAGGUCCAAAGGUGGAGGGAAGCGGGAUUCAUAGCCAAGAUCCACCAGAUGCUGCAUACACACAACUACUACCCCAUGGUAAGGAGAAGGAGGAAGAUGGACACGGUCAGGCAGGAAGCACUUUUUGGUCCCCUUCGUGCUUCUCAAUUGGAUGGUGGAAAUGGGCAGGGAGUGUAUUAUAGGUGUGGGUCUCAAGAGGGAAACACUCAGAAAAAGGACCCGGUUCAGCUCUGCUUUCAUCUCUGUUGAAGACAACAACGGAAGUGGCUUGGAGGGCCCCAUAGGCAGGGCUGGAGGGAGAAGAAUACUUUCUCCUGGAUGGUGGGGUGCAUCUUUAAUCCCAACAACUUGGGAGGCUAAGGCAGGAGGAUCUCAAGUUCAAGGCCAGCCUCAGCAACUUGGUGAGAUCCUGUCUUAAAUAAAAAGGCUGGGGAUGUGGUUCGGUGGUUAAGCACCCCUAGGUUCUAUCCCCAAUACCUAAAAAGAAAAAAGGCCCUAGGGUGCACUGUAAGAGGUAGAUUCUAGAAAGAUGUGGGGAAAUGAGAAGCCAUGGUAAUUCAUGAACUGUCUUCACAACAAGGCAAGAAACUGAUGAUGUUUAUAUGGCCCACAGAAAGCUGCUGCUGAGGUUCCAGGUGAUUGGCCCACAGCCCUCAGUCACAGGCCCUGUAGAGAGCCUCAAAGACUGAGCUGUCAGCAGCUCAACCCCUGUGACUUUCCAACCAAGUCGAGAGGCUGUGAUCUAGAAUUCACUGAAAACUUGGUGAUGGGUAAACGGCGGGGAGGGAGGCAAGGGAGCUUGGCUUUCAGCUCUUAACAUUGUGUAUUAUUUUAACUUAUCAAAAUGGAGUGUGCUAAUUUUAUAAAGAUAAAUAUAGCUUCAAAAGAGCAGAGGUGGACCAGCUUUGACUCCUAUUCUGAGACGGGAGAGAAUAAGGAAUAAGGUGGGAGAAGGAUAUUGAGGAUAUUGAGAACUGGAGAUAAUGAGAUAACUAUACUGUAACAGGAAUCUGACUAAUAAAUGAAUAGCAAAAUUGUGAA